rnacentral:rRNA from 1 species
CCUACGGGAGGCAGCAGUGGGGAAUAUUGGGCAAUGGAGGAAGCUCUGACCCAGCGACGCCGCGUGCGGGAUGAAGGCCUUCGGGUUGUAAACCGCUUUCAGCAGGGAAGAAGCGAAAGUGACGGUACCUGCAGAAGAAGCACCAGCUAACUAUGUGCCAGCAGCCGCGGUAAUACAUAGGGUGCAAGCGUUGUCCGGAAUUAUUGGGCGUAAAGAGCUCGUAGGUGGUUCGUCACGUCGGAUGUGAAAAUCUGGGGCUUAACCCCAGACCUGCAUUCGAUACGGGCGAGCUUGAGUAUGGUAGGGGAGUCUGGAAUUCCUGGUGUAGCGGUGGAAUGCGCAGAUAUCAGGAGGAACACCAAUGGCGAAGGCAGGACUCUGGGCCAUUACUGACACUGAGGAGCGAAAGCGUGGGGAGCGAACAGGAUUAGAUACCCUGGUAGUCCACGCCGUAAACGGUGGGCACUAGUUGUGGGGACCUUCCACGGUCUCUGCGACGCAGCUAACGCAUUAAGUGCCCGCUGGGGAGUACGANGNANAUAACAGAAGAGUGNGNGNGAGAGNGCGAGACGACGACGAGGAGGAG